CCACCCCCCAUGGACGCCCUACUUCCUUUCCACCGCUUUCCCCCUCUUUCCACAUCUCUCACUCCACCCCAAAAAGGGGGAAAUUCUUCCACUGCUCCAGAUGGAAGGCCAGAAUCGCCUGCACAGCCCGGACACGCAGGUCUCCAAGUGCUGAUUUCAUUUCUUUCCCGACAAAAUUUGAAGCCAGGAGGGAAAUGGUUUGGCAGGAAAUCAACGUGCAAGCGGAGGAAAUAGCGUGGAGGCAGCAGAUUCUGUGUCGAGGUCUGAGGUGGGGUGUCCGAACCGAGACUGGACCCAGGCUCUGAAGACCCCAAGAGGCAGAAAGCCUCUUGGAGGCCUGGUGGGACGGCGGCCCCGAGGGUGUUUGCUCAGCGGCCUCAGAGUUUUCUCUCAACAGCUGUGGUGGAGUGGAUUCCAGAGAGUUCUUCCUCCCAUUCUCUCUGAUGUAGGUAGACAGAGGUGGGGACCAGCUGGGGAGAAAUGGAGGGGAGUCGGCAGAGUCCUCAAUUCCUGACCACCCAAGCUUCACGAGGGGACUUUUGAGUGCUUAUGUUGCAUGGAGCUGGGGGAUGGGGAAGGACAUCUGACAAAUGAUGAGAUGCUUAGCACAUGAGCAACGACGAAAGCUGCCCCUCCCAGGUCCCGGGCUCUCACCUGCCACCACCCCAGCCACUGAAGCCCCCCUGGCUCUUCUCAUUGAGAUCAGCCUCCCCUCCCAACCCAGCUACGCCAGCAUCUUUGACUGAGUUCUGGAAAAAUUUCUUUCUCCUUAACUCUGCCAAGAAAGGGCUGAAAAUUUCCAAGAGGAACACUUCACUGAGACCCAGAGGGAAAAAACCCAGGGGCAAAGGAACGAGAAGGGGGAAGGGAGAGAGACAGAAUCUCAUGCAGGCUUCACAACAAGUGUGGAUCUCACGACCCUGAGAUCAUGACCUGAGCCAACACCAAGAGCCGGAUGCUUACCCAACUGAGCCACCAGAAC